CUUAAAUAGUUUAAUUCUGAAAACAUUACAUUUUCAUUGUAAAAUUAAUCAAUUUUUAA
rnacentral:tRNA from 1 species